GGAAAAGUAGCUUGUAGAGGUAGGAGAGCCACUUUUAUUCUCUUCUCCUUGAGUACAAAGAGCCAUUAGGAAAUGGAAGUACGAAGAGUGGUUUGGAAAUGGGAGGUAAGAACCCUGCCCCUCUCCAUGAGUAUGAAGAACCAUUUGGAAAUCAAAGGGUACUAAGAGCCAUUUGGAGAUGGAAGGUAAGAAAAUUUUCCUCUCCUCAAGUACUAAGAGCCAUUUGCAGGUGAAAAGUAAGAAAUGUUCUCAUCUCCUCUCCUGAUGUACCAAGAGCCAUUAGAGAUGUAAGGUAGGAAGCUUUUUCCUCUACUUAAGUACCAAGAGCCUUUUGGAGAUUGAAGGUAACAAAUCUUUUCCUCUCCUUGGGUCCUAAGAGCAGUUUGGAGAUUAAAUAUAGGAAAUUUUUUCCUCUCCUCUCUUCUUCCAGUAUGAAGAGGCAUUUGGAGAUGGAAUGUAAGAAACUUUCUCCUCUCCUUGAGUAACAAGAGCCAUUUGUAGCUGAAAGGUAAGAAAUGUUUUUCUCUCCUGAUGUAUUGAGCUAUUUGGAGAUGGAAGGUAAGAAAUUUUCCCCUCUCUGAGUAUGGAUAUCCAUUUGGACAUAGAAGGUAAUAAUCUUUCUCUUCUCUCAUCUUCUCAAGUGCCAAGAGCCAUUAGGGAAUGGAAAGUAAGAAACUUUUUCCUCUCCCUUUUCUCUCUCUUGGAAAUGGGAUUAUCUUUCUCUUAACUCUUAAUAUUUUUUACAACAAAACUAGGGAAAGGUCAUAAGCAUUUAGGUAACAUAGACAGAAAAGAUUUACCAGUUUUCCACAAAAAUUUGAGAUGUAGAAAAAUGUGUUCCUCAUAGUAGGUAAAUAUACUUCUGCAGUGAGUAGAGGUCUUAACUGUUUCUCAAUUAAGGCAAAUUUAAAUGCAAAAUCAAAGCUAGUUUAACACAACACCUAAUUUUCUGUAGAAAGUGUAAACAACAGUUUAAAAUUUUCACUCAUUGAAGGUCUUCUUACAGAGUAGAGUAUAUAUAAAUCAAAACAAAAUCCUAGGAUAUGAAUAUGAAUUUUGUCUCUCUAAACUCCUACUUGGUUUCUAUAUGUUCGUAUCUGAAGACUCCUUCUCUCUCCUAGCUAGGCUGUACAAAAUUCAUCCUAAAACUGAACCUGCCUACUCUAUUUUUAAAUGUUUAGUAUUUCUCUAUUGCUGCUUUACCAUCUUGUAGAAUGUAGUGUUAAAGGCUAUGCUUCAAUACAUGCAUCUAAAAUAUGGAUAAAGAAACUUUAAGGGAGAUAA